GUAGUCCAUCAAUGAGCGUUUCGAUGUCACUGGUACAGGGUGGUGCUGCCGGUGGUGCGCCACAGGGCGCCAGCGCAAUCUUGGCCGCUGCGGCUCCCUACUAUCAGCCGCCGGCCGUUCCCCAGGAUGUCCAGCCGGAUCGUCCCAUCGGCUAUGGAGCAUUCGGAGUUGUCUGGGCUGUCACAGAUCCUCGUGAUGGGCGACGCGUGGCCUUGAAGAAGCUGCCAAAUGUAUUCCAAUCGUUGGUCUCAUCGAAACGCGUUUUUCGCGAGCUGAAAAUGCUCUGCUUCUUCAAGCAUGAGAAUGUUCUCUCGGCUCUGGACAUUCUACAGCCACCGCAUUUGGAUUUCUUUCAAGAAAUCUAUGUGAUAACGGAGCUGCUGCAAUCGGAUCUGCACAAGAUAAUCGUAUCGCCGCAGCACCUGUCCGCCGACCACAUCAAGGUGUUCCUGUACCAGAUCCUGCGUGGCCUCAAGUAUCUGCACUCGGCCCGCAUCCUGCAUCGCGACAUCAAGCCGGGCAAUCUGCUGGUCAACUCGAAUUGCGUGCUCAAGAUCUGUGAUUUUGGUUUGGCCCGCGUGGAGGAGCCGGAUCAGGCCAAGCACAUGACCCAGGAAGUGGUCACCCAGUACUACAGGGCACCGGAGAUUCUGAUGGGCGCUCGUCACUACUCGUCGGCGGUGGAUGUGUGGUCGGUGGGCUGCAUUUUCGGCGAGCUCUUGGGCCGUCGUAUCCUGUUCCAGGCGCAGAACCCUGUGCAGCAGUUGGAGCUGAUCACCGAGCUGCUGGGCACGCCCACCAUGGAGGACAUGCGGCACGCCUGUGAAGGUGCCCGCACCCACAUGCUGCGCCGGGCGCCCAAGCCGCCCUCCUUCUCGGUGCUCUACACACUCAGCUCCCACGCCACGCACGAGGCUGUGCACCUGCUCUGCCAAAUGCUGGUUUUCGAUCCGGACAAGCGCAUUUCUGUGACAGAUGCCCUGGCGCAUCCUUACCUGGAUGAGGGACGUCUGCGCUACCACUCGUGCAUGUGCAAAUGCUGCUUCACUACCUCGGCCGGAAUGCGCCAGUAUACGGCUGAUUUUGAGCCCUCCGCGGGCCAGCCCUUCGAUGAUCUGUGGGAGCGCAAGCUCACCUCCGUGCAGCAGGUCAAGGAGGAGAUGCACAAGUUCAUUGCCGAGCAACUGCAAACGGGUCGUGUGCCGCUUUGCAUUAAUCCACAGAGUGCGGCCUUCAAGAGUUUCGCCAGCCAAUGAGAAUGAGAAAAUCUACUACUACUACCACUACCACUACUACCACUACAACUUGCACUGCUGCUCCUGCCGCUGCUCCACUCCGCCGCCGCCUACUGUUGCGCUGCCCUCAAGAACCGAUCCAGAUCCAGAUCGAGAUCGUUAUCCAGAUCAAGAAACUAGGCGCGCGAUCUCCUCUCACUAGAACGAAUCGAUAUAGAAACGCAGAAGUCACAAGAUACUAAUCUGCCGAAUGAUUGAAGAAUGAAAAUGAAUGAAAAUGCGAGCAAUGCCAAGAUAAAGAAACAAUAAUACAGAUACAGAAAAUGAGGCCUCGGGGCGGCAACUGUCUCUCAACUCCUUCUUAGUUCGACCGUGGCACAUCCUUCGGAGCUGCCGCCCUCGCCUCAUCAAUGGGAAUGACGGCAAAAUGAGGCGAUUGCUGCCUAAAAUCGAAACAAAAGCAACACAGCCAAACGAUAGAACCUCGCCGCCGAAAAGAAGGAGAAGAGGAGUCGAUUCCCAGUCCAAAAAAAACCCUCGAAAAAACCCAACCCAACCCAACCCAGAGAUAACUCAGCCAGGAACAACGAUUGAAUAAUUUUUAAGCGCCAAACGGCUUUUAAGUGGGCGUUUGUCUGUUUGAAAGUUAAAGCAUUCCACCACCGAAAUUAACUAAAAGAAAACAAACAAAUAUUUAAUAAUACUAUAGACAAACAAAUAUGUAACGUAACUCAACUGAAACUAGUCUAAACAACAAAACUGUAGUUAAAGCAGCAGCAGCGACACAAAACCAGCAAGUUUAAAGUGAAGGAAAAAUAUUACAAACAUUAAAGAGAGAGAGAGUGCAGCAGCAGAUUCUACGCACUACAAGCAAAGCGUAGUUUAUAAUAUUAGUUUUUUGGCAACAAAGCAGACAUUUUGUUGUGCUUGACAAGAAUUGGAAGAAUUGAUCGUAAAUUCGAAUUAAUGAAAAAAAAAACACAACACAAAAUCGUUUUAUGUUAUGCUUCUAAGAAAUCUAUGUAUAUGUAAAUUAAUUAGCAACACACACAGACAUCGUAUUCAUUAUAUACAAAUAUGCUUAACUAUUAAAUAUAUCGAUAAAUAUAUUUAAAAUAAAAUAGUAACAAAAUGCACACAAAUCCAAAAUUUGUUUGCCAAAAUUUACCUCAAGCGAUUAACCUUUUCAUCCGUAAAAAGGAUAAAUUCAUUUUCUGUUAGCUUACGAAAAAAAAAUAGUAAGGUGUAGCUACAGCUAAAUGUUUACUAAACGCAAAACAAAAAACAAAUUCAUUUGAAAUUAUGCAACUAUUUUCAUUUUCACAAACGUUGAAAGCUUCAAUUUUGAAACUGGUUUCUAGAUAUAUACUCUAAAUGUAUCUGACCACAAAAAGCGGUCAAACACUAACUCAAUAUUAGACAAAACAAAAAUAUUUGAUGAAAUUAGUUCAAAGUUUCAACUGUCGACUGAGCAAAAAUUACAAUAUAAAUAAAUAUAAAUAUAAAUUAAACAAUUUCAACCUAAUUUAGUUAUGACAAUUUUCGCUUUGAUAAUAGUUUGUUAAGCUUUUUAAUAAUAUUUUUCAUAAAUGUAAACUAUCAAAUAAACAAACCAACAAAGGAAAAACCAACAAGUGGACGACGCACUGCCCCCAGUGAAUGAUUCUGGCGGAUGAAGCCCAAUGGGACGAAAAGGAGGAUUUCCAUUCCCCUUUGGAGUCCCACGGCGCCGCCCGAAUCAAUUCAAUUUUAGUUGAUACAUAUACUUUGCUUUUAGUUGAUUACCAUGUAAUAUAGUUUAAUUUUCGACUAACUACACCUCUGUCUCUCUCAAUGCUCAUCGCUUUAGACUAUAGCAAAGGUGCAGGACAGGAUCGGUUAUAGAGGAUCAAUUGCUACGGCCUCGGCUGCCCAGAACAUUAUAUAUGUUAAGACUGAGUUUUCUCAUUUGACGACGACGAUUGAUUAAUUGAGGAUAUGCAAUAUGAAAUUCACACUUGAUUUUUUUGGAAGAGUCAAAAUUAUGAUGUAGCUUAAGCACUUACACAAAAUUAAAAAUGUAUACCGUAAAUGUGUAUUUUGAAUGUCAUUUGCCUUCAAUGUUUAGAGCAAAAACAAUGCAAAAAUAUUUAAUCGAAAAAAAACGAUAAUGAAGUAGAAGAAGCUCUUGAAGAAAUUAAAACUGAAGCUAAACUAAACUUUUCCUCUUCUUCAAUUCUCUUAACUGUGCUGCUUUCUUAUGUAUGUAGUUAUUAAUUAUAUCAUUAUAUAUAUUAACCGAUAUAUAUACAUGUAUGGAUUAGCGUAAAACAAACGAAAACAAAACAAAAAACAAAUAUGAAUUCAAAACUUUCACGGAGAUCUCAUAGCAAAAACAAAACGAAAUGAAAGAAAAGAAAAGCAAAGGAAAUCAGUGUGCAAAAAAGUAGAAUUUCUUUUCAACUUUUGUUUAUAACUAAAGUUUUUCUUAACCGUUAAUAUAUAGAGUACCAAUUAGAGAUUACAGAUUGUUUAUCCCUCAUUUGACCAGAGACCGACCCAGAGACACACGCUCGAAUGCAAGUUAAAUUGACAUCUACAUCAACAUCAUUUACAUCUCUAAGCACAUACUCCCCAUAGAGGUACAUAUAUAAUUAUAGCUACUCAUAUGGAUAGUUAGUUUUCGUUCGGCUUAGGCACCGUGUACAUAACAUUAUCUCCACACCCCCACCAAUAAUUAGCCCACAUCUCUCUCUAGCUCAGUAAGACGGUUAGCUAUGAGGUAAUACGAGUACGAUAAGUAAUGGACAUGUACAUUAUACUACACACAUAGCACAACCCUCGAUUGGAGCAGGUCUGAACUAAAACAUAAAGAAAUUCACACUCGAUAUAUGCCUAUAUAGGAUGUAUGAUUUGGGGGAGAACGACUUGAGUCGAUUCAACCGCCCGUUCGAAAUGAGUUCAUAAGUUAAGAUCAACUGUAACUGUAAACUGCAUUAGUAUUUGACUUGUAAACCGAUUUAUGGAUCAUUCUUAACUAUAUAUAUUAGAUACGUAUUACACAUUAAUUUACGUUAACUGAGAAUAAAACAAAAACUUGUGUAAACUGUUUGUAUAAAAAAAAAUAAGAACAAAACAAAAAAAGAAGAAAACGAA